rnacentral:rRNA from 1 species
GACCCUUCAGCGAUGGAGGUUCUACUGGGGGUUCAUAAACGUCUCUCCUUUGGGGGGACAGCUUUGUGAACAUUUGAUCUCAAAUCAGGUAGGACUACCCGCUGAACUUAAGCAUAUCAAUAAGCGGAGGAAAAGAAACUAACAAGGAUUCCCCUAGUAACUGCGAGUGAAGCGGGAAGAGCUCAAAUUUAAAAUCUGGCGUCCUCUGGUCGUCCGAGUUGUAGUCUGGAGAAGCGUUUUCCGUGUUGGACCGUGUAUAAGUCUCUUGGAACAGGGCGUCGUAGAGGGUGAGAAUCCCGUCUUUGACACGGACUACCAAUGCUUUGUGAUGCGCUCUCAAAGAGUCGAGUUGUUUGGGAAUGCAGCUCAAAAUGGGUGGUAAAUUCCAUCUAAAGCUAAAUAUAGGCGAGAGACCGAUAGCGAACAAGUACCGUGAGGGAAAGAUGAAAAGCACUUUGGAAAGAGAGUUAAACAGUACGUGAAAUUGCUGAAAGGGAAACGCUUGAAGUCAGUCACGUCUGCCAGGACUCAGCCUCGCUUCUGCUUGGUGCACUUUCUGGUUUGAUGGGCCAACAUCAAUUUUGGCCGUUGGAAAAAGGCAUUGGGAAUGUGGCACCUUUGGGUGUGUUAUAGCCCUUUGUUGUAUACGACGGUUGGGAUUGAGGACUGCAGCACGCCUUCAUGGCCGGGGUUCGCCCACGUACGUGCU